GUGUACCACAAUGGAGGAAGUGGACCUUUUUGAGCAACGGCUCAAAGAUCCCGUCAACAUUCUAAUGAGUAGUGAGUUUUUUUGUUUUAAGAAUCUCACGCAAAGCUGAUUAAAAUCUAUUGUAUGUAAUUAACACUAGACAAUACCAUGUUUGAUGGAAAUGUUUUUUCAAACAUUCUGUAAAGUAUCAAAUAUUAAUCGUACUUUUUCGAUCCAUUUUCGAUUUCCUCCCUGGCAACGAUCGGACGACAUGAUGCCAAACGUGGAACAUCCUCUUAUGAAUGGAAAAAAAUUAUUCAGUCAAAUGUCAUCUAAGACUUUGCUCCUGCAUGCCGUCAGAAAGAAUCAUGCCACACAUGCAUCCACUGAUGAACAGAUUCUAAAGCAUGCCAUUAGGUGGUUCAACCUGGCAGCAAACCGGGGUAGCUCCAGGAGGCGUGCUACUGUCGACAUCCCCCACACUGAACAGAAUUAAAAAUAUAUAUUUAUAUUUUUAUAUAUAAUAUAUAUUUAUAUAUACACACACCAGUUCUCAGUUGGAAGUUCCACCAUUCACUUGAGGCCACUGCGACCUAUUCUCUGGGAGAAUUGUGGUAUUUGGGUUAGGUGGUCGGUAUUUAUGGUUGUAUUAGUUGUAGCUCUUGUGUUCUAAUGUGAGCUAUAGUUUUUACUCUAUAUGUAUGUGUGUAUAUAUUGUCUCGAACUAAUUAUAAAUAAAUAUGAUUCAUACAUGUACAAGAAAUAAUUUGAUGUCCUUUUAAUAAACUGUUUUUGAUAUUA